rnacentral:rRNA from 1 species
UACGUAGGUGGCAAGCGUUGUCCGGAAUUAUUGGGCGUAAAGCGCGCGCAGGUGGUUUCUUAAGUCUGAUGUGAAAGCCCACGGCUCAACCGUGGAGGGUCAUUGGAAACUGGGGAACUUGAGUGCAGGAGAGAAGAGUGGAAUUCCACGUGUAGCGGUGAAAUGCGUAGAGAUGUGGAGGAACACCAGUGGCGAAGGCGGCCAGCUAGACCAGUUCUGACACUGAGGCGCGACAGCGUGGGGAGCAAACAGG